rnacentral:lncRNA from 1 species
GCGUCUCUCCGACUCCUCGCGUGGGGUAGGCUUGGGGGCUGUUGGCCCCUCUUGGCCGCCAUCGCCGCGCCCCGAGGGAAACUGACAUGAAACGGACUCGUUGAGGAAAAGACAGAGAAUGCAGCCUCUGGUGCUGUUUGAGUGAUCCCUCUCCCCCGGGCCUGGCCGCGUGCUGCUGUGUUCUGGAAAGGCUCAUUGUACAGUCAAGACGGCAGUCUUGAGGAUCCAUUUUCUGAGAUGGUAAUGGGAAAGAUGUUGGUUGUCAAGUGGAAUCUCAGCAGUCAUUUUCAGACAAAGUUAGAGAAAACAAGUAUGGAAGAUGCCUGAUUCUCAAAGAGUCAUCCAGCCUUGGGAUUACCGCCUAUGUCCAUGGAAGUGAAAGUCCUCUUUUUCUUUGUACCACUUACUGAG